rnacentral:ncRNA from 1 species
AAGAGCAUAGUACGAUAAAAGUUGUAAGCUGUGUUCAGGGGACAGUUAUUGUCUAUCGUUAGCCUCUAUGGUAGAAUUUGUUGGGGGACCUGAGAGGUGAUGGUUUAGCCUAC